AUUGAACGCUGGCGGCAUGCUUUACACAUGCAAGUCGAACGGCAGCACGGGCUUCGGCCUGGUUGCGAGUGGCGAACGGGUGAGUAAUAUAUCGGAACGUACCCAGAAGUGGGGGAUAACGUAGCGAAAGUUACGCUAAUACCGCAUACGAUCUAUGGAUGAAAGCAGGGGACCGCAAGGCCUUGUGCUCCUGGAGCGGCCGAUAUCUGAUUAGCUAGUUGGUGAGGUAAAGGCUCACCAAGGCGACGAUCAGUAGCUGGUCUGAGAGGACGACCAGCCACACUGGAACUGAGACACGGUCCAGACUCCUACGGGAGGCAGCAGUGGGGAAUUUUGGACAAUGGGCGCAAGCCUGAUCCAGCAAUGCCGCGUGAGUGAAGAAGGCCUUCGGGUUGUAAAGCUCUUUUGUCAGGGAAGAAACGGUAGAGGCUAAUAUCCUUUGCUAAUGACGGUACCUGAAGAAUAAGCACCGGCUAACUACGUG
rnacentral:rRNA from 1 species